rnacentral:rRNA from 1 species
GAUGAACGCUGGCGGCGUGCCUAAUACAUGCAAGUCGAGCGAACAGAUAAGGAGCUUGCUCCUUUGACGUUAGCGGCGGACGGGUGAGUAACACGUGGGUAACCUACCUAUAAGACUGGGAUAACUUCGGGAAACCGGAGCUAAUACCGGAUAAUAUUUCGAACCGCAUGGUUCGAUAGUGAAAGAUGGUUUUGCUAUCACUUAUAGAUGGACCCGCGCCGUAUUAGCUAGUUGGUAAGGUAACGGCUUACCAAGGCGACGAUACGUAGCCGACCUGAGAGGGUGAUCGGCCACACUGGAACUGAGACACGGUCCAGACUCCUACGGGAGGCAGCAGUAGGGAAUCUUCCGCAAUGGGCGAAAGCCUGACGGAGCAACGCCGCGUGAGUGAUGAAGGUCUUCGGAUCGUAAAACUCUGUUAUUAGGGAAGAACAUACGUGUAAGUAACUGUGCACGUCUUGACGGUACCUAAUCAGAAAGACACGGCUAAGUACGUG